rnacentral:rRNA from 1 species
AUUGAACGCUGGCGGCAGGCCUAACACAUGCAAGUCGAACGAGCGGCGGACGGGUGAGUAAUGUCUGGGAAACUGCCUGUUGAAGGGGGAUAACUCCUGGAAACGGUAGCUAAUACCGCAUACCAUCAGAUGUGCCCAGAUGGGAUUAGCUAGUAGGUGGGGUAACGGCCCACCUAGGCGACGAUCCCUAGCGGGUCUGAGAGGAGGACCAGCCACACUGGAACGGGGACACGGUCCAGACUCCUACGGGAGGCAGCAGUGGGGAAUAUUGCACAAUGGGCGCAAGCCUUAUGCAGCCAUGCCGCGUGUGUGAAGAAGGCCUUCGGGUUGUAAAGCACUUUCAGCGGGGAGGCGUUACCCGCAGAAGAAGCACCGGCUAACUACGUGCCAGCAGCCGCGGUAAUAC